UGAGGAAUAUUGGUCAAUGGUCGGAAGACUGAACCAGCCAAGCCGCGUGAAGGAUGAAGGUGCUAAGCAUCGUAAACUUCUUUUGUUGAGGGACAAAAGCAGGCACGUGUGCCUGUCUGCGGGUACUCAAAGAAAAAGCAUCGGCUAACUCCGUGCCAGCAGCCGCGGUAAUACGGAGGAUGCGAGCGUUAUCCGGAUUUAUUGGGUUUAAAGGGUGCGUAGGCGGUGCAUUAAGUCAGCGGUAAAAGCCCGGAGCUCAACUCCGGCGAGCCGUUGAAACUGGUGUGCUUGAGUUGGAGAGAAGUAUGCGGAAUGCGCAGUGUAGCGGUGAAAUGCAUAGAUAUUGCGCAGAACUCCGAUUGCGAAGGCAGCAUACCGGCUCCACACUGACGCUGAGGCACGAAAGCGUGGGGAUCAAACAGG
rnacentral:rRNA from 1 species